rnacentral:rRNA from 1 species
UACGAAGGGGGCUAGCGUUGUUCGGAAUACUGGGCGUAAAGCGUGCGCAGGCGGUUUUGUAAGCCAGAUGUGAAAUCCCCGGGCUUAACCUGGGAAUGGCAUUUGGGACUGCAAGGCUUGAGUGCGGCAGAGGAGACUGGAAUUCCUGGUGUAGCAGUGAAAUGCGUAGAUAUCAGGAGGAACACCGAUGGCGAAGGCAGGUCUCUGGGCUGACACUGACGCUCAUGCACGAAAGCGUGGGGAGCAAACAGG